CACGUAGGAGGCGAGCGUUGUCCGGAAUCAUUGGGCGUAAAGAGCGCGCAGGCGGCCCGGCAAGUCGGGUGUGAAAUCCCGGGGCUCAACCCCGGGACUGCAUUCGAUACUGCCGGGCUAGAGGUAGGUAGGGGAGAUCGGAAUUCCUGGUGUAGCGGUGAAAUGCGCAGAUAUCAGGAGGAACACCAAUAGCGAAGGCAGCUCGCUGGGACGUUACUGACACUAAGGCGCGAAAGCGUGGGGAGCGAACAGG
rnacentral:rRNA from 1 species